AUAAAGGUUCAAAACCCUUGAGAAUAUUAAAUUCUGAUAUAGGAAGUCUUUUGUUUGCCGAUGACCUUAUAAUUUUAUCCGAAAGUAAAGAAGGUCUUCAAAAUAGCUUAAAUAACUUAUCAAAUUACUGUGAAAAAUGGCAGUUAUGUCUAAAUACUAAAAAAACAAAAACAAUGAUCAUUGAACAAAGAACUACAAAACUGGAACCAUACAUUGUAAGGUUCAAUAAUGAAAAAAAUUGAUAACGUUACUGAGUAUAAAUUUCUGGGCA
rnacentral:lncRNA from 1 species